rnacentral:rRNA from 1 species
UACGUAGGGUCCGAGCGUUGUCCGGAAUUAUUGGGCGUAAAGGGCUCGUAGGCGGUCUGUUGCGUCGGGAGUGAAAACUUACAGCUUAACUGUGAGCGUGCUUUCGAUACGGGCAGACUUGAGGCAUUAAGGGGAGAACGGAAUUCCUGGUGUAGCGGUGAAAUGCGCAGAUAUCAGGAGGAACACCGGUGGCGAAGGCGGUUCUCUGGGAAUGUCCUGACGCUGAGGAGCGAAAGUGUGGGGAGCGAACAGG